GAACCUUUACUAUAGCUUGACACUGAACAUUGAGCCUUGAUGUGUAGGAUAGGUGGGAGGCUUUGAAGUGUGGACGCCAGUCUGCAUGGAGCCGACCUUGAAAUACCACCCUUUAAUGUUUGAUGUUCUAACGUGGACCCGUGAUCCGGGUUGCGGACAGUGUCUGGUGGGUAGUUUGACUGGGGCGGUCUCCUCCUAAAGAGUAACGGAGGAGCACGAAGGUUGGCUAAUCCUGGUCGGACAUCAGGAGGUUAGUGCAAUGGCAUAAGCCAGCUUGACUGCGAGCGUGACGGCGCGAGCAGGUGCGAAAGCAGGUCAUAGUGAUCCGGUGGUUCUGAAUGGAAGGGCCAUCGCUCAACGGAUAAAAGGUACUCCGGGGAUAACAGGCUGAUACCGCCCAAGAGUUCAUAUCGACGGCGGUGUUUGGCACCUCGAUGUCGGCUCAUCACAUCCUGGGGCUGAAGUAGGUCCCAAGGGUAUGGCUGUUCGCCAUUUAAAGUGGUACGCGAGCUGGGUUUAGAACGUCGUGAGACAGUUCGGUCCCUAUCUGCCGUGGGCGCUGGAGAACUGAGGGGGGCUGCUCCUAGUACGAGAGGACCGGAGUGGACGCAUCACUGGUGUUCGGGUUGUCAUGCCAAUGGCACUGCCCGGUAGCUAAAUGCGGAAGAGAUAAGUGCUGAAAGCAUCUAAGCACGAAACUUGCCCCGA
rnacentral:rRNA from 1 species